rnacentral:rRNA from 1 species
AACCUCUGCAAUAGGCGAAAGCCUGACAGGGUUACUCUGAGUGACUUCCGUUAAGGAGGUCUUUUGGCACCUCUAAAAAUGGUGCAGAAUAAGGGGUGGGCAAGUCUGGUGUCAGCCGCCGCGGUAAUACCAGCACCCCGAGUGGUCGGGACGUUUAUUGGGCCUAAAGCAUCCGUAGCCGGUUCUGCAAGUCUUCCGUUAAAUCCACCUGCUCAACAGAUGGGCUGCGGAAGAUACUACAGAGCUAGGAGGCGGGAGAGGCAAGCGGUACUCGAUGGGUAGGGGUAAAAUCCGUUGAUCCAUUGAAGACCACCAGUGGCGAAGGCGGUCUGCCAGAACACGUUCGACGGUGAGGGAUGAAAGCUGGGGGAGCAAACCGG